rnacentral:rRNA from 1 species
UGCGUAGGUCUCAAGCGUUAUCCGGAUUUACUGGGCGUAAAGCGUCCGUAGCAGGAUGUGUAAGUCUAUUUUCAAAUACUCUAGCUCAACUGGAGAAAGGGAAUAGAUACUGCAUUUCUAGAGGUUUUUGGAGGGUAGUGGAAUUUCCAGUGGAGAGGUGAAAUUCGUUGAUAUUGGAAAGAACGCCGAAAGCGAAAGCAGCUACCUAUGAAAACCUGACUGUGAGGGACGAAAGCUUGGGUAGCAAACGGG